GACGGAGGAUGCAAGUGUUAUCCGGAAUCACUGGGCGUAAAGCGUCUGUAGGUGGUUCGAAAAGUCCACUGUUAAAAAUUGAGGCUUAACUUCAAAGAUGCCGUGGAAACCUUUCAAACUAGAGUAUGGUAGGGGUAGAGGGAAUUUCCAGUGGAGCGGUGAAAUGCGUAGAUAUUGGAAAGACCACCGAUGGCGAAGGCACUCUACUGGGCCAUUACUGACACUGAGAGACGAAAGCGUAGGGGAGCAAAUGGG
rnacentral:rRNA from 1 species